CCGAGUGGACAUGCGCCGACAAUACACGGGGCUAAGCACGGCGCCGAAGCGGCGGAUAUGUUUUUACAUAUGGUAGGGGAGCGUCCCGCGGGGGGCGAAGCCGGAGGGCGACCGACGGUGGACCGCGCGGGAGCGAGGAUGCUGGCAUGAGUAGCGAGAGUGGAGAGGGUAACUCCACCGCCGUGAACCCGAGGUUUCCUGGGCGAGGCUAAUCCCCCCAGGGUCAGUCGGGGGCUAAGGCGAGGCCGGAAGGCGUAGCCGAAGCGCAGCAGGCAGACAUUCCUGCACCGCGCACGCGGCGCUAUGACCGAUGCGGCGACGGAUGGGGGUGGCUCGGCCGGGUUCUGGACGUCCCGGUGAUGGAGCGCGGCCCGUCGGGGAGGGAAGUCCCCCCGGCGCGAGGGUUAGGCUCCGGACGAAGCGACUGAGCGAAGCGAGUGAGCCCGUGGUCCCUAGAAAAACCGCUAGGCAGGCGCGUGCGCGCCCGUACCGCAAACCGACACAGGUGGGUGGGUAGAACAUACCGAGGCGAUCGGGUCAACCGUGGUCAAGGAACUCGGCACAAUGGCCCCGUAACCUAGGGAGAAGGGGUGCCCCCGCGUACGUGAACCGGCUCGCCCGGGGAGCGGAGGGGGGCCGCAGUGAAGAGGCCCAAGCGACUGUUUACCAAAAACACAGGACUCUGCAGAAGCCGCAAGGCGACGUAUAGGGUCUGACGCCUGCCCGGUGCCGGAAGGUCACGCGGAGGGGUCAGCCGCAAGGCGAAGCUCCGAAGCCAAGCCCCGGUAAACGGCGGCCGUAACUAUAACGGUCCUAAGGUAGCGAAAUUCCUUGUCGGGUAAGUUCCGACCUGCACGAAAGGCGCAACGACUUGGGCGCUGUCUCGACCACGGACCCGGUGAAAUUGCACUGGUCGUGAAGAUGCGACCUACCCGCGGAAGGACGGAAAGACCCCGUGAACCUUCACUGCAGCUUGGCAUUGGCCGCUGCUCGGGAGCGUAGAGGAUAGGCGGGAGGCUUCGAAGCCGGGGCGCCAGCCCCGGUGGAGCCGACCUUGGAAUACCGCCCCCUCCCGUGCGGCGUCCUAACCCCCGGCCGCGAUCCGGCGGGGGGACCGUGCCAGGUGGGCAGUUUGACUGGGGCGGUCGCCUCCUAAAGGGUAACGGAGGCGCGCGAAGGUUGGCUCGGGGCGGUCGGCAACCGCCCUCAUAGAGUGCAAGAGCGCAAGCCAGCUUGACUGCGAGUCCUACAAGACGAGCAGGUGCGAAAGCAGGCUCUAGUGAUCCGGCGGCCCCACGUGGGAGGGCCGUCGCUCAACGGAUAAAAGGUACUCCGGGGAUAACA
rnacentral:rRNA from 1 species